CAUAGGUUUGGUCCUGGCCUUUCUAUUAAUUGUUAGUAAAUAUACACAUGCAAGAAUCCUCAUUCCAGUGAAAAUGCCCUCUAAAUCAACCCAUGAUUAAAAGGAGCUGGUAUCAAGCACACUACCCAGUAGCUCUCUACACCUUGCUUAGCCACACCCCCACGGGAAACAGCAGUGAUAAAUAUUAAGCAAUAAGCGAAAACUUGACUAAGUCAUGCUAACUAAGGCCUGGUAAACUUCGUGCCAGCCACCGCGGUCAUACGAUCGGGCCAAAUUAAUAGACAUACGGCGUAAAGAGUGUUAAAAAACAAAUAAACAAUAAAGCUAAACCUUAACUAAACUGUAAAAAGUCCUAGUUAUUGUAAAAUAUAUGACGAAAGUAGCUUUAAAAAUUCUGAUCACACUAUAGCUAGAACCCAAACUGGGAUUAGAUACCCCACUAUGCCUAGCCCUAAACAUAAGUUAUUAGCAACAAAAUUACCCGCCAGAGAACUACUAGCAACAGCUAGAAACUCAAAGGACUUGGCGGUGCUCCACAUCCUUCUAGAGGAGCCUGUUCUAUAAUCGAUAAACCCCGCUACACCCGACCAAUUCUUGCCAAACCAGCCUAUAUACCGCCAUCUUCAGCAAACCCUAAAAAGGAUGUGUAGUAAGCACAAACAUUAACAUAAAAAAGUUAGGUCAAGGUGUAGCCUAUGAAUUGGAAAGAAAUGGGCUACAUUUUCCCACUAAGGAAAAUCUACGAAAGUUUCUGUGAAAACCAUAAACUAAAGGUGGAUUUAGUAGUAAACUAAGAAUAGAGUGCUUAGUUGAAUUUUGGCCAUGAAGCACGCACACACCGCCCGUCACCCUCCUCAAGUAAAAAUAAUUAACUAAUCAAAUAAUUAACUAAUUAUAAAUAUUAAUACUACAAGAGGAGAUAAGUCGUAACAAGGUAAGUGUACUGGAAAGUGCACUUGGAAAAUA
rnacentral:ncRNA from 1 species